GGCCUGCAUGGUGUGUGUGUGUGUGUGUGUGUGUGUGUGUGUGUGUUUUAAUCAGGCUCCACAACCAGCAUGGAGCCCAACG
rnacentral:pre_miRNA from 14 species